GACGAACGCUGGCGGCGUGCUUAACACAUGCAAGUCGAACGGAAAGGCCCUGCUUUUGUGGGGUGCUCGAGUGGCGAACGGGUGAGUAACACGUGAGUAACCUGCCCUUGUCUUUGGGAUAACUUCAGGAAGCUGGGGCUAAUACCGGAUAGGAGCUCCUGCUGCAUGGUGGGGGUUGGAAAGUUUCGGCGGUUGGGGAUGGACUCGCGGCUUAUCAGCUUGUUGGUGGGGUAGUGGCUUACCAAGGCUUUGACGGGUAGCCGGCCUGAGAGGGUGACCGGCCACAUUGGGACUGAGAUACGGCCCAGACUCCUACGGGAGGCAGCAGUGGGGAAUAUUGCACAAUGGGCGGAAGCCUGAUGCAGCAACGCCGCGUGCGGGAUGACGGCCUUCGGGUUGUAAACCGCUUUCGCCUGUGACGAAGCGUGAGUGACGGUAAUGGGUAAAGAAGCACCGGCUAACUACGUG
rnacentral:rRNA from 1 species